rnacentral:rRNA from 1 species
AUACGUAGGGUGCGAGCGUUGUCCGGAAUUACUGGGCGUAAAGAGCUCGUAGGUGGUUUGUCGCGUCGUCUGUGAAAUUCCGGGGCUUAACUCCGGGCGUGCAGGCGAUACGGGCAUAACUUGAGUACUGUAGGGGAGACUGGAAUUCCUGGUGUAGCGGUGAAAUGCGCAGAUAUCAGGAGGAACACCGGUGGCGAAGGCGGGUCUCUGGGCAGUAACUGACGCUGAGGAGCGAAAGCAUGGGUAGCGAACAGGAUUAGAUACCCUGGUAGUCCAUGCCGUAAACGGUGGGCGCUAGGUGUAGGGGUCUUCCACGACUUCUGUACCGUAGCUAACGUAUUAAGCGCCCCGCCUGGGGAGUACGGCCGCAAGGCUAAAACUCAAAGGAAUUGACGGGG